CAAGGCAGCAACUUCAGUUCAUUUAUUCCAGUGUCGUGUGAUUUGCAUAGUUUCAUAACCUGUUAGCAUCUGCUCAUUGAUAAUUCUGAGCUUGUGUUUUCUUGCCGAUUUUUUACUGCAGAGGUGGAGAAGUACUAAAUGGCAAUUUGUUUCUUUAAUUUUCCAGUGCAAACAAAGUCAGGGAACAAAGAAAGAUGCAUGGUGACUGCAAAAUAUCAUUAUUAUUUUAUCAACAAUAAUAAUACAAUACUCCAUGAGUACAACUUCUUAGUAAUAAAUGCACAUAAAAGCAGGAUAGCCAGGCAGUGCAAAAGACGAAUUCCUGUAAUGUUACAUGAAUUAUUUUACAUAGGGCCAAGUGUAGCCUACUGCUGCCUAAUAGAUAAAUUGAAAAUUUUGCAACUGUAUAUCUAACUCACCAGCUUUCGGACCGUGCAGUAGCUGUGCCAAACUGACUGAUGUGGAGCAAGACUCCAUCUCAAAAAAAUAAAUAAAUAAAAA